UGAACGCUGGCGGCAGGCUUAACACAUGCAAGUCGAGCGGGGGAAGGUAGCUUGCUACCGGACCUAGCGGCGGACGGGUGAGUAAUGCUUAGGAAUCUGCCUAUUAGUGGGGGACAACAUCUCGAAAGGGAUGCUAAUACCGCAUACGUCCUACGGGAGAAAGCAGGGGAUCUUCGGACCUUGCGCUAAUAGAUGAGCCUAAGUCGGAUUAGCUAGUUGGUGGGGUAAAGGCCUACCAAGGCGACGAUCUGUAGCGGGUCUGAGAGGAUGAUCCGCCACACUGGGACUGAGACACGGCCCAGACUCCUACGGGAGGCAGCAGUGGGGAAUAUUGGACAAUGGGGGGAACCCUGAUCCAGCCAUGCCGCGUGUGUGAAGAAGGCCUUAUGGUGUAAAGCACUUUAAGCGAGGAGGAGGCUACUUUAGUUAAUACCUA
rnacentral:rRNA from 1 species